rnacentral:rRNA from 1 species
CGCGUAGGUGGUAGUGCAAGUCUGAGGUGGAAUCCUAUGGCUUAACCAUAGAACUGCCUUGGAAACUGCAUUACUUGAGUCAGUGAGGGGAGGGUAGAAUUCCUGGUGUAGCGGUGAAAUGCGUAGAUAUCAGGAGGAGGGCCGGUGGCGAAGGCGGCCCUCUGGCGCUGAACUGACACUGAGGCGCGAAAGCGUGGGGAGCAAACAGGAUUAGAUACCCUGGUAGUCCACGCCCUAAACGGUGGGUACUAGGUGUAGGGCUCGUAAGGGUUCUGUGCCGAAGCGAAAGCAUUAAGUACCCCGCCUGGGGAGUACGGCCGCAAGGUUGAA